CAGUCGCCGCGGGAAUACGUAGGUGGCAAGCGUUGUCCGGAAUUAUUGGGCGUAAAGGGCUCGCAGGCGGUUUCUUAAGUCUGAUGUGAAAGCCCCCGGCUCAACCGGGGAGGGUCAUCGGAAACUGGGAAACCUGAGUGCAGAAGAGGAGAGUGGAAUUCCACGUGUAGCGGUGAAAUGCGUAGAGAUGUGGAGGAACACCAGUGGCGAAGGCGACUCUCUGGUCUGUAACUGACGCUGAGGAGCGAAAGCGUGGGGAGCGAACAGGAUUAGAUACCCCUGUAGUCCCUGUCUCUUAUAC
rnacentral:rRNA from 1 species